CCUACGGGGAGCUGCAGUAGGGAAUAUUGCUCAAUGGGGGAAACCCUGAAGCAGCAACGCCGCGUGGAGGAUGAAGGUUUUCGGAUUGUAAACUCCUUUUGUUAGAGAAGAUAAUGACGGUAUCUAACGAAUAAGCACCGGCUAACUCCGUGCCAGCAGCCGCGGUAAUACGGAGGGUGCAAGCGUUACUCGGAAUCACUGGGCAGAAAGAGCGCGUAGGCGGGAUAGCAAGUCAGAUGUGAAAUCCUAUGGCUUAACCAUAGAACUGCAUUUGAAACUGUUAUUCUAGAGUAUGGGAGAGGUAGGUGGAAUUCUUGGUGUAGGGGUAAAAUCCGUAGAGAUCAAGAGGAAUACUCAUUGCGAAGGCGACCUGCUAGAACAUAACUGACGCUGAUGCGCGAAAGCGUGGGGAGCAAACAGGAUUAGAUACCCGAGUAGUC
rnacentral:rRNA from 1 species